UUUCCGUAGGUGAACCUGCGGAAGGAUCAUUCAUAAUAAAGUGUUUUAUGGCACUUUUUAAAAAUCCAUAUCCACCUCGUGUGCAAUGUUAGAUCUCGUCAAUCUUGGCGAGGUUUUUAUACAUCAACUCAUUCUUUAACUAAUUUGUCUGAAAAAUAUUAUGAAUACUUAAUUCAAAAUACAACUUUCAACAACGGAUCUCUUGGCUCUC
rnacentral:misc_RNA from 1 species